AGCGUACACGGUGGAUGCCCUGGCAGUCAGAGGCGAUGAAGGACGUGCUAAUCUGCGAUAAGCGUCGGUAAGGUGAUAUGAACCGUUAUAACCGGCGAUUUCCGAAUGGGGAAACCCAGUGUGAUUCGUCACACUAUCAUUAACUGAAUCCAUAGGUUAAUGAGGCGAACCGGGGGAACUGAAACAUCUAAGUACCCCGAGGAAAAGAAAUCAACCGAGAUUCCCCCAGUAGCGGCGAGCGAACGGGGAGCAGCCCAGAGCCUGAAUCAGUGUGUGUGUUAGUGGAAGCGUCUGGAAAGGCGCGCGAUACAGGGUGACAGCCCCGUACACAAAAAUGCACAUGCUGUGAGCUCGAUGAGUAGGGCGGGACACGUGGUAUCCUGUCUGAAUAUGGGGGGACCAUCCUCCAAGGCUAAAUACUCCUGACUGACCGAUAGUGAACCAGUACCGUGAGGGAAAGGCGAAAAGAACCCCGGCGAGGGGAGUGAAAAAGAACCUGAAACCGUGUACGUACAAGCAGUGGGAGCACGCUUCGGCGUGUGACUGCGUACCUUUUGUAUAAUGGGUCAGCGACUUAUAUUCUGUAGCAAGGUUAACCGAAUAGGGGAGCCGAAGGGAAACCGAGUCUUAACUGGGCGUUAAGUUGCAGGGUAUAGACCCGAAACCCGGUGAUCUAGCCAUGGGCAGGUUGAAGGUUGGGUAACACUAACUGGAGGACCGAACCGACUAAUGUUGAAAAAUUAGCGGAUGACUUGUGGCUGGGGGUGAAAGGCCAAUCAAACCGGGAGAUAGCUGGUUCUCCCCGAAAGCUAUUUAGGUAGCGCCUCGUGAACUCAUCUUCGGGGGUAGAGCACUGUUUCGGCUAGGGGGCCAUCCCGGCUUACCAACCCGAUGCAAACUACGAAUACCGAAGAAUGUUAUCACGGGAGACACACGGCGGGUGCUAACGUCCGUCGUGAAGAGGGAAACAACCCAGACCGCCAGCUAAGGUCCCAAAGUCAUGGUUAAGUGGGAAACGAUGUGGGAAGGCCCAGACAGCCAGGAUGUUGGCUUAGAAGCAGCCAUCAUUUAAAGAAAGCGUAAUAGCUCACUGGUCGAGUCGGCCUGCGCGGAAGAUGUAACGGGGCUAAACCAUGCACCGAAGCUGCGGCAGCGACACUAUGUGUUGUUGGGUAGGGGAGCGUUCUGUAAGCCUGUGAAGGUGUACUGUGAGGUAUGCUGGAGGUAUCAGAAGUGCGAAUGCUGACAUAAGUAACGAUAAAGCGGGUGAAAAGCCCGCUCGCCGGAAGACCAAGGGUUCCUGUCCAACGUUAAUCGGGGCAGGGUGAGUCGACCCCUAAGGCGAGGCCGAAAGGCGUAGUCGAUGGGAAACAGGUUAAUAUUCCUGUACUUGGUGUUACUGCGAAGGGGGGACGGAGAAGGCUAUGUUGGCCGGGCGACGGUUGUCCCGGUUUAAGCGUGUAGGCUGGUUUUCCAGGCAAAUCCGGAAAAUCAAGGCUGAGGCGUGAUGACGAGGCACUACGGUGCUGAAGCAACAAAUGCCCUGCUUCCAGGAAAAGCCUCUAAGCAUCAGGUAACAUCAAAUCGUACCCCAAACCGACACAGGUGGUCAGGUAGAGAAUACCAAGGCGCUUGAGAGAACUCGGGUGAAGGAACUAGGCAAAAUGGUGCCGUAACUUCGGGAGAAGGCACGCUGAUAUGUAGGUGAAGCCCCUGCGGGUGGAGCUGAAAUCAGUCGAAGAUACCAGCUGGCUGCAACUGUUUAUUAAAAACACAGCACUGUGCAAACACGAAAGUGGACGUAUACGGUGUGACGCCUGCCCGGUGCCGGAAGGUUAAUUGAUGGGGUUAGCGGCAACGCGAAGCUCUUGAUCGAAGCCCCGGUAAACGGCGGCCGUAACUAUAACGGUCCUAAGGUAGCGAAAUUCCUUGUCGGGUAAGUUCCGACCUGCACGAAUGGCGUAAUGAUGGCCAGGCUGUCUCCACCCGAGACUCAGUGAAAUUGAACUCGCUGUGAAGAUGCAGUGUACCCGCGGCAAGACGGAAAGACCCCGUGAACCUUUACUAUAGCUUGACACUGAACACUGGUCCUUGAUGUGUAGGAUAGGUGGGAGGCUUUGAAGCGUGGACGCCAGUCUGCGUGGAGCCAACCUUGAAAUACCACCCUUUAAUGGCUGGUGUUCUAACGUAGACCCGUAAUCCGGGUUGCGGACAGUGUCUGGUGGGUAGUUUGACUGGGGCGGUCUCCUCCUAAAGAGUAACGGAGGAGCACGAAGGUUGGCUAAUCCUGGUCGGACAUCAGGAGGUUAGUGCAAUGGCAUAAGCCAGCUUGACUGCGAGCGUGACGGCGCGAGCAGGUGCGAAAGCAGGUCAUAGUGAUCCGGUGGUUCUGAAUGGAAGGGCCAUCGCUCAACGGAUAAAAGGUACUCCGGGGAUAACAGGCUGAUACCGCCCAAGAGUUCAUAUCGACGGCGGUGUUUGGCA
rnacentral:rRNA from 1 species